UACGGGGGGGGCAAGCGUUGUUCGGAAUUACUGGGCGUAAAGGGCUCGUAGGCGGCCAACUAAGUCAGACGUGAAAUCCCUCGGCUUAACCGGGGAACUGCGUCUGAUACUGGAUGGCUUGAGGUUGGGAGAGGGAUGCGGAAUUCCAGGUGUAGCGGUGAAAUGCGUAGAUAUCUGGAGGAACACCGGUGGCGAAGGCGGCAUCCUGGACCAAUUCUGACGCUGAGGAGCGAAAGCCAGGGGAGCAAACGGGG
rnacentral:rRNA from 1 species